GGUGGCUCACGCCUGUAAUCCCAUCACUUUGUGAGGCCAAGGCGGGCGGAUCACAAGGUCAGGAGAUCGAGACCAUUCUGGCUAACAUGGUGAAACCCCGUCUCUACUAAAAAUACAAAAAACCUGUGGUCCCAGCUACUCGGGAGGCUGAGGCGAGGCAGGAGAAUCGCUUGAACCUGGGAGGCGGAGGUUGCAGUGAGCCGAGAUCGCGCCACCGCACUCCAGACUGGCAACAAAGUGAGACUCUGUCUCAAAGAAAAAAAACAAAACAAAACAGGUUUCUUUCCAGUCACCAAAAUGUGGAAGGAUUUAAUGAACUUCCCCCUACCAUGUGUUCACACCAGCCCAGUCUUGAUUCACUGCUAAAAAUUCUCUGCUUUUGCCUAGUAGAGCGUUCAAUGAAUAUUGGUCAAGUGAAUGAAUGAAUGAAUGGUACUUCAGAUGAUCAUGCUACUCCUAGACAUUGGUUAAGAUGCCUUGGCCCUUCAAAAUCAAUAACGUGGUCUUUUUACACAGCACGUGCUCUUAAAAAUAAUCUAUUCUAUAUGUGUGUGUUAGGGCCACUUGUUUUCUAGACAGUUUUGUUUCUGUAGUCAAGUGGGCAUAGGAAGUUUAUAUGUGGGAAGUUAGUAUAUACAGACACACAGAUAUAUGUCUGUUUUCAUUGGCCUAUUUAUUCAUUGGAUGAAAUUGUUGCAGAAGCUAUUUGUAACUAUUCAGUAAGGUCUCCAUAUGUUGCAGUUCUUGCAGUUAGUGUUAAACAUUUGGAUCAAUACAACAUAGUGAUAGCAGCAAGAUCACAAACCUUCACAUUCUUCUGCCAUAUUCCAUUGGUUUUACAUCUUGAACUGUCUGUGAGUGGAGGCUGAUCUUUGCCUUGGGGCUCUAGAUGGCCAGGUUGAUGCAGCUCGACACACUUUAGACACCUGAGCACCCCCAGCAUGAAUACUUAAUGCUUUAGCAAAGACCCUGUGUCCUUCAGCUUACACAGUUGUGACUACAGGGAAACCUCGUUCCUGUUUUGAUAUGUUUGUUAUGUAGCAUGUCCUUUCCGAUCUCUGUAACCUUUCAGGGGUCAGUUUUCUCCUUUGUAAAAUGGCAGGCUUGGAAGAGAAGGCUCGAAAGCCCUUUGCAUGUCAGCCCAGGGAAGUGGAAAGACCACACCUAGGAACCGACUCUAGCUCUUACCACCCUGUAAGCCUGAGGCUCAGUUGCUGUCCCUGGAGAACAGAAAACAUAAUCAUGGCUAUUCUGAGGGUCAGGGGCAAGUGCUUUGCAAGUGGGAUUGUGGUGGGCAGUGGGAGGGAUUCUGGGGUUCACUGUCAUGCUAGUUGUGUAACUGGGCAAUGCAACCGUGUAAGUGUCAGGAAACCCUCAAUAAGACUGAGCCAGAGGCCAAUAAGAAGCCAGCAUUUACAUGAUGUUCUUUUCCUUUUUGUAACUAGGAAAUUUCGAUUUGCACACUGAUUUGGCCCACCAUUCCUGGAGAGAUCUCGUGGGAUGUCUCUUUUGUUACUUUGAACUUCUUGGUGCCAGGACUGGUCAUUGUGAUCAGUUACUCCAAAAUUUUACAGGUAUGUUUUCUGCAAGUGCUGCCACUGAACUUCACCCAGGCUUGGGGUUAUUUCUGCUAGAAUCUUAGAAUUUGGGGUCGGAGAACACCUAAGAGUUCACGCCAGCUCAAUCUUGAUUCACUGCCCAGGUCUACAACACUGAGGAAGGAGAGGAUUUUUUUAGAAGUUAUAUCUUUGUGAUUAUGUUUUUGCUCAUCACUAAAGUAAUACUAGGUCAUUACAAAAAAUUAAAUUAAAAUGAAAGCAGACACAUAAAUGUAAAUAACACAGAAACUGAAAACUUACUCUACCUUCUUAACAAUUCAAGAUGUAUUUUUUCAGGUUAUUUUUCUUAUAAGCUUAUGUAUAUGUCAUGUAUACUGUGUGUGUAUUUGAUGAACCAUAUGAAAUUGCAGGUUAAAAUGGUCAAAUGGUUAUCUGACACUGUUCAAUGUUCUUUUCAGAUAUGAGAUAAUACUCUCUGCUCUGUAACUCCUUUUUUCACUUAACAUUAUAUCUUAACAUCUUUCCACAUCAUUCCUAUAUCUCUAACUCAUUAUUUUUAGUGGCUACAGAUAUGACUUCAUUUAUUUUAUGGUCUUUUAGGCUGUGUCCAUUGUUUCCCCAUCGCAAACACUGCAGUACUGGAGAAUGUAUACUUUUUAAAACAUUUUAUUGAAGUAUUAUAUACAUAUAUAAAAAGCACACUGAGCAUAGGUGUAGGCUCAAACUGAGUGCAUUCAUGAAAGCAGCUCCCAGGUCAAGAAAUGGAAUAUUACCAGAAGUCCCUCCUAUUAUCUUCCAGUUGCUACUCCACCCACCCCCAGGGAAUGCCCAUUUCAAAUGUGCACUGAAACAGGAAAUGAUCUCUACCUUUAAAACAAAUAUGUACAGGGACAUAAAAAGGACGAGUCAGCCUGUUUUAUAUCUCGUAAGGUAGCCCAUUUGUGAGUAAGUUGCCUGCCCAGGCAAACAGCAUGGGUGCAUCCAUGUUUAUGCCCAUUUUAGAAGGUUUAAUGCAAAGCCCUUGAAUCCUCGUGGAGGUUUAUAGUUGUUGAAUCUUGGUUUUAUAGCAUCUCAUGUGUGGGUCAUCUGGCAAGUAGGCACUUGAAGUGGUGCCCUGUAGGGCCUGCUCACUCUCUGGUCACUUUUAUGGCCCUUUCUUUGCAGCUAAGGGUCUGUAACCUUCUUAGACGCUCAGAACCCAUAGCCAGGCCAACCUCCAUCCAGGUCUGCUAAUCCCUGGGUCCUGUGGGAGAUGGCCCCUCCAUGUCACUCAUUAGACUCUUGCCCACCCAAUGACCACUAAAGUGACACCCAGCCUGAGGCUUGUUCAAGUGCAGGAGGCAGAUUCAGGCCUGGAGUUAAGGUCUGGACAGUGCUUGCGAUGGGACCAGGCAUAUGAUAGUGCUAUGUAAGUGUUAGCUAUUAUCAUUAAGUUAAAAGGAAAGAGGUGAGAGAAAAAGGAAGAUAAAUGUAGAACUUAUUUAACAAAUAUUUACAUAGUGUUGACCAUAUGCCAGGAACUGACUCUUUAAUUCUGAUAAGAAUUACAGAUGAAGAAACCCAGGCACAGGGAGGUUAAGUAACUUACCCAAGGUAACACAGCUUGUAAGUGGCAAUCAGGAUUUAAAUUCAGGCAGUCUGACCCUAGAGUCCCAAUGCAUUAAUUCCUCAGACAUGUGUUAAGGGCCUGCUCUGUGCGAAGUGCUUGGGGGAAGGGAGGUGGGCUAAAAACCGAGCAAGACACAUUCUCUAUCCAGAAGAAGCUUUGACAUAAAAGGGGAAGAGGGAGGAGACAGACAAGGGUGCUGAUAUCGAAAGGAGAGAAACUGAACACAAGGUGGAAUGAUACUGAGACUUUGCAAACACUUUGCAAACUGUUAAAUGCUACACAAACGUAAGGGACGAAUAAGGGGUAUAAGAAAGAAGAGCAGGCCAGGUGUGGUAGCUCACGCCUGUAAUCCUAGCACUUUGGGAGGGUGAGACCAGUGGAUCACCUGAGGUCAGGAAUUCAAGGCCAGCCUCGCCAACAUGGUGAAAGCCCGUCUCUACUAAUAAUACAAAAAUCAGCCGGGCGUAGUGGUGGGCGUCUGUAAUCCCAGCUACUGUGGAGGCUGAGGCAGGAGAAUCACUUGAACCCAGGAAGAGGAGGUUGCAGUAAGCCGAGAUCGUGCCACUGCACUCCAGCCUGGGCAACAAAGUGAGAUUCCCUCUCAAAAAAAAAAAAAAAAAA
rnacentral:lncRNA from 1 species